GGGUUCUACCGUUGGUCAGGCAAUAGUCUGUACUGGCGUGUGGAAUUUCUACCUUCUGGGGAACCAUCAUGUUAUUAAUUUAGUGUGGUGGGAAACCAGGACCUUUACCUUGAAAAAUUAAGAGUGUUCAAAGCAGGCUUACGUCUGAAUACAUUAGCAUGGAAUAAUAAAAUAGGACGGUGGUCCUGUUUUGUUGGUUUCUGGGUCACCGUAAUGAUUA
rnacentral:rRNA from 1 species